rnacentral:rRNA from 1 species
UACAGAGGUCCCAAGCGUUGUUCGGAUUCACUGGGCGUAAAGGGUGCGUAGGUGGUCGGGUAAGUCUGACGUGAAAUCUUCAAGCUCAACUUGGAAACUGCGUCGGAUACUAUUCGGCUAGAGGAAUGGAGGGGAGACUGGAAUACUUGGUGUAGCAGUGAAAUGCGUAGAUAUCAAGUGGAACACCAGUGGCGAAGGCGAGUCUCUGGACAUUUCCUGACGCUGAGGCACGAAAGCCAGGGGAGCAAACGGG